UACGAGGGGGGCAAGCGUUGUUCGGAAUUACUGGGCGUAAAGCGCACGUAGGCGGCUUUGUAAGUUAGAGGUGAAAGCCCGGGGCUCAACCCCGGAAUUGCCUUUAAGACUGCAUCGCUAGAAUUGUGGAGAGGUAAGUGGAAUUCCGAGUGUAGAGGUGAAAUUCGUAGAUAUUCGGAAGAACACCAGUGGCGAAGGCGACUUACUGGACACAUAUUGACGCUGAGGUGCGAAAGCGUGGGGAGCAAACAGG
rnacentral:rRNA from 1 species